CCUACGGGAGGCAGCAGUGGGGAAUAUUGCACAAUGGGCGCAAGCCUGAUGCAGCCAUGCCGCGUGUAUGAAGAAGGCCUUCGGGUUGUAAAGUACUUUCAGUGAGGAGGAAGGCAUGAUGCUUAAUACGCAUCGUGAUUGACGUUACUCACAGAAGAAGCACCGGCUAACUCCGUGCCAGCAGCCGCGGUAAUACGGAGGGUGCAAGCGUUAAUCGGAAUUACUGGGCGUAAAGCGCACGCAGGCGGUCUGUUAAGUCUGAUGUGAAAUCCCCGGGCUCAACCCGGGAACUGCAUUCGAAACUGGCAGGCUAGAGUCUUGUAGAGGGGGGUAGAAUUCCAGGUGUAGCGGUGAAAUGCGUAGAGAUCUGGAGGAAUACCGGUGGCGAAGGCGGCCCCCUGGACAAAGACUGACGCUCAGGUGCGAAAGCGUGGGGAGCAAACAGGAUUAGAUACCCUCGUAGUC
rnacentral:rRNA from 1 species